AGGAGUGUAGCUCAAUUGGUAGAGCGCCGGUCUCCAAAACCGAAGGUUGUAGGUUCGAUUCCUAUCACUCCUG
rnacentral:tRNA from 1 species